AUUGAACGCUGGCGGCAGGCCUAACACAUGCAAGUCGAGCGGAUGAAGGGAGCUUGCUCCUGGAUUCAGCGACGGACGGGUGAGUAAUGCCUAGGAAUCUGCCUGGUAGUGGGGGAUAACGUCCGGAAACGGGCGCUAAUACCGCAUACGUCCUGAGGGAGAAAGUGGGGGAUCUUCGGACCUCACGCUAUCAGAUGAGCCUAGGUCGGAUUAGCUAGUUGGUGGGGUAAAGGCCUACCAAGGCGACGAUCCGUAACUGGUCUGAGAGGAUGAUCAGUCACACUGGAACUGAGACACGGUCCAGACUCCUACGGGAGGCAGCAGUGGGGAAUAUUGGACAAUGGGCGAAAGCCUGAUCCAGCCAGGCCGCGUGUGUGAAGAAGGUCUUCGGAUUGUAAAGCACUUUAAGUUGGGAGGAAGGGCAGUAAGUUAAUACCUUGCUGUUUUGACGUUACCAACAGAAUAAGCACCGGCUAACUUCGUG
rnacentral:rRNA from 1 species